UACGUAGGGGGCUAGCGUUGUCCGGAAUCAUUGGGCGUAAAGCGCGUGUAGGCGGCCCGGUAAGUCCGCUGUGAAAGUCGGGGGCUCAACCCUCGAAAGCCGGUGGAUACUGUCGGGCUCGAGUGCGGAAGAGGCGAGUGGAAUUCCUGGUGUAGCGGUGAAAUGCGCAGAUAUCAGGAGGAACACCAAUAGCGAAGGCAGCUCGCUGGGACGUUACUGACACUGAGGCGCGAAAGCGUGGGGAGCGAACAGG
rnacentral:rRNA from 1 species